rnacentral:rRNA from 1 species
UACGGGGGGGGCGAAGCGUUGUUCGGAAUUACUGGGCGUAAAGGGCUCGUAGGCGGCCAACUAAGUCAGACGUGAAAUCCCUCGGCUUAACCGGGGAACUGCGCCUGAUACUGGUUGACUUGAGUUUGGGAGAGGGACGCGGAAUUCCAGGUGUAGCGGUGAAAUGCGUAGAUAUCUGGAGGAACACCGGUGGCGAAGGCGGCGUCCUGGACCAAUACUGACACUGAGGAGCGAAAGCCAGGGGAGCAAACGGG